GCAGGUGUGGCGGAAUGGCAGACGCAGCAGACUCAAAAUCUGCCGGUGGCAACAUCGUGUGGGUUCAAGUCCCACCACCUGCA
rnacentral:tRNA from 1 species